rnacentral:rRNA from 1 species
AUGAAGCCUAAUAAUAAACCAUCUAGUGUUGCUUCUGAAAUUAAAUUGAAAAGUGCAUGUUUACUUGCCACCAAAUCUGAUAUUGAUGAUAUAGAUUUCAGCAAAUCUAUUUGCUAUGCUUUUGUGAGCAAAGAGGCAUUAUUUUCUUUCAAGGAUGUACCUUCCUCUUUGCCUCCUGUUGUCACUAACAUUUUGCAGGAGUUUGCUAACAUCUUUCCACAAGACGUGCCACUGGGAUUACCACCCAUUCGAGGGAUUGAGAAUCAGAUUGACUUAAUUCCCGGUGCUUCGCUGCCAAACCAUGUGCCAUACCGUACCAAUCCAGAGGAGACGAAGGAGAUUAUGCUUCAUGUACAGGAGCUGAUCGACAAAGGUUAUAUACGCGAAUCUCUUAGUCCUUGUGUUGUACCUAUCAUACUAGUGCCAAAACAGGAUGGUACAUCGUGUAUGUGUGUUGAUUAUAGAGGCAUUAAUAAUAUUACUAUUUGUUAUCGUCAUCCUAUUCCUAGGCUAGAUGAUAUGCUUGAUGAAUUGAGUGGCUCUACAAUAUUCUCCAAAGUUGAUUUGCGUAGUGGAUACCAUCAAAUUCAUAUGAAAUUGGGAGAUGAAUGGAAAACAACAUUUAAAACUAAGUUUGGAUUAUAUGAGUGGUUAGUCAUGCCUUUUGGGUUAACUAAUGCACCUAGUACUUUCAUGAGAUUAAUGAACGAAGUUUUACGUGCUUUCAUUGGACGAUUUGUGGUAGUCUAUUUUGAUGAUAUACUGAUUUAUAGUAGAUCUUUGGAGGAACAUUUGGAACAUUUACGUGUUGUUUUUAUUGCUCUACAUGAUGCACGUUUUUUGGUAACCUUGGGAAGUGCACAUUUUGCACCGGCCGAGUAUCUUUUUUUGGCUAUGUUGUUACUCCACAGGGAAUUGAAGUUGAUAAAGCCAACAUUGAAGCUAUUGAGAGUUGGCCGCGGCCCAAAACGGUCACACAAGUGA